UGGGGAAUAUUGCACAAUGGGCGCAAGCCUGAUGCAGCCAUGCCGCGUGUAUGAAGAAGGCCUUCGGGUUGUAAAGUACUUUCAGCGAGGAGGAAGGCGUUGUGGUUAAUAACCGCAGCGAUUGACGUUACUCGCAGAAGAAGCACCGGCUAACUCCGUGCCAGCAGCCGCGGUAAUACGGAGGGUGCAAGCGUUAAUCGGAAUUACUGGGUGUAAAGCGCACGCAGGCGGUCUGUCAAGUCGGAUGUGAAAUCCCCGGGCUCAACCUGGGAACUGCAUUCGAAACUGGCAGGCUAGAGUCUUGUAGAGGGGGGUAGAAUUCCAGGUGUAGCGGUGAAAUGCGUAGAGAUCUGGAGGAAUACCGGUGGCGAAGGCGGCCCCCUGGACAAAGACUGACGCUCAGGUGCGAAAGCGUGGGGAGCAAACA
rnacentral:rRNA from 1 species